GACGAACCGUGCGAACGUUGUUCGGAAUCACUGGGCUUAAAGGGCGCGUAGGCGGCCGGACAAGUCCGGGGUGAAAGCCCCCAGCUCAACUGGGGAAGGGCCUCGGAUACUGUUCGGCUCGAGGGAGGUAGGGGCAGGGGGAACUUCUGGUGGAGCGGUGAAAUGCGUUGAUAUCAGAAGGAACGCCGGUGGCGAAAGCGCCCUGCUGGAUCUCUACUGACGCUGAGGCGCGAAAGCCAGGGGAGCGAACGGG
rnacentral:rRNA from 1 species